UCUAUGGGGUAAAAUCUUCAUGUCAGCCUCUCACUCUCACUCUCUCAUCCAAGGCUCCACAGCAACAAUACCCCCACCAGGAACAGUAGCCAUCACCAACAAACCCCCAAGCAUUCCCAUCACACCUUUAAACUCUCAGACAGCAUCCAUCUCAACCACUCCUCCACCCAUAAAUGAACAAGACAAAAGCAACAUCUCCACUCCUUCACCCACACAAUCCACCAAGAAUGCAAACGACUCCACAGCAACUGGCGACUCGAGCACAAGCACUUCUUACCCUGCAAGCACCCUCAACCAAACCCAGACAUCUGACCCUGCAAGCACCCUCAACCAAACCCAGACAUCUGACCCUGCAAGCACCCUCAACCAAACCCAGACAUCUGACCCUGCAAGCACCCUCAACCAAACCCAAGCCUUUCCUACAAACACCUCCACCUCUCAAACCCAGGCUUUGCCUACAAACAACUCGACCUCUCCAUCUUUGCCUACAAGCACUCCACCCAUCCAAAACCAAACCUCACCUGCAAGCACCCUGACUUCCACUACAGCUAUCCCCACAGGUUGGCCUCUCCUCCAUGGGAUGCUGUGUUGUGUCCAUUGAUAGUAGAUCAUGUUUCUCCUACUGUUGUGAUGUUGUAAUGGAAUGUUGUGAUGUUGUAAUGGAAUGUUGUGAUGUUGUAAUGGAAUGUUGUUCUCGUGGAUUCUUAUCAUUUCAUUCACAAUAUAUAGCAAUAUGAUGAUUUUUAACAUACUGCAGCAAUCUUUACACGAUGCAGAUGUUGAAGUGAAGGGUGCUGAGUAAAACAUUUCUGAACCGUAGUAAAUGAUCAUAGAAUAUUGAGUGGAAGAAUGCAGUUUUACAACAGGCCUAUAUGAAAUAACUGCUUCACAUCUGUUGGGAUCUGUGAACAGGAUGACCAUAAUGUAAUCUGUUGCCUAUGUUUGUGUUUGACAGUACCUGAUGAGGUGGGGAAAAGAACAAGUGUGACUUAUACUCAGAACAAUGCUUUUACCAUUACAUGUGAGGAAUUAAAGCCAGUUCAGUGGAAGGGAAAAGAGAAGUGG